rnacentral:hammerhead_ribozyme from 1 species
AUCCAGCUGACGUGUGUCAGAUAUGACGAGACGCGCGUCAUACUGGAU